UACGUAGGGGGCAAGCGUUGUCCGGAUUUAUUGGGCGUAAAGAGCGUGUAGGCGGCUUUACAGGUCCGUUGUGAAAACUCGAGGCUCAACCUCGAGACGCCGGUGGAAACCGUAAAGCUAGAGUCCGGAAGAGGAGAGUGGAAUUCCUGGUGUAGCGGUGAAAUGCGCAGAUAUCAGGAGGAACACCAGUGGCGAAGGCGGCACUCUGGGCCGGUACUGACGCUGAGGAGCGAAAGCGUGGGGAGCGAACAGG
rnacentral:rRNA from 1 species